rnacentral:rRNA from 1 species
CUACGGGUCCUCCAGUGGGGAAUAUUGCACAAUGGAGGAGACUCUGAUGCAGCAACGCCGCGUGGAGGAUGACACUUUUCGGAGCGUAAACUCCUUUUAUAUAGGAAGAAGAUGACGGUACUAUAUGAAUAAGCGCCGGCUAACUCCGUGCCAGCAGCCGCGGUAAUACGGAGGGCGCAAGCGUUACUCGGAAUCACUGGGCGUAAAGAGCGUGUAGGCGGAUUAAAAAGUCAGAAGUGAAAUCCUAUAGCUUAACUAUAGAACUGCUUCUGAAACUCUUAAUCUAGAAUAUGGGAAGGUAGAUGGAAUUUCUGGUGUAGGGGUAAAAUCCGUAGAGAUCAGAAGGAAUACCGAUUGCGAAGGCGAUCUACUAGAACAUUAUUGACGCUGAGACGCAAAAGCGUGGGGAGCAAACAGGAUUAGAUACCCCGGUAGUC